ACUGGGGGGACAGGAGUAUAAAAAGAAGAGGCAGACACCCUUCUCACUCACUGCCCAUCAAUUCACUGCACGAGAAGGGACAAAGGAAGCAGCCAUUAAAAAGAAGGAGAGUCCUGGCCUAAAAAAUUUGGCCGGUAAGAUUGAGAGCAUGUGUGGAACUUUGGCAAUACAUCUGAGGAUUAUCAGCGCUCGAGUGGUUUAUCCUCCUACAUCCUCACUGCAAAGUGGGCAGGUGACCAGCCCGAGCGAAAGUGGAACCUGGACUCUAACACCCCCGCUGUGCCAGCCAGCCUGGCUUGAAAGCACCACUAAACCCAGAAAUCUCAUUUCACGGGAAUCUUUGAAUUUUUUGGCUUUGUUCCAAUUUGGAAUGAAAAUAAAGUUUGAAAUCACAGAAGUUCCAGUAGAACAGAGAUUCCAGUUGCCACUUCUCUCUAUUCAGGAGUUUUGAAUGUAUAAGUUAGGCAAGAUCAUGCCCAUUGUUUGGCUGAAGAUGACCACGGCUUUUGAGAUGGUUCCCUUCCACUUAUCAUGGAUGGGGUUAGUAGGCCAGGAAAUUCCAUGAAGAUGACCUCAGGGAAGUUUCUCCAAAUCUUCUGCUCAAGGGGGAGGGCUUCAGAGGCCACAAGCUUAAGGGGUGCAUGUAGGCACCCAGUGCUAGGGAUCUCUAAGGAAGGGGACCUCUAUUCCUGUUGAAGAUUGGCUACUCCCCCUUGCUUCUAUGGUUUCCCCUUCACAAUGGCAGCAUGUCAUCUACAGAAACCAGGCUGCUGUUGACCAAGUGUACCCCACAUCACAUGCCUGAAGGCACACAUGCCUGAGUGCGGAUAACUGGUUCGAGAUCUGCUGUAGCUGGGGGCAAGAAUGCUGUGGGUGGCAGCUCCAAUGCCUCCCACAUUAAACCCUAUGGAGCACCAAUUGAGGGGUCUCCGUGUUGUCCGAAACAGAGGAUUGAUGCCACAGAGCUGCUAUUCUUCUCUAUACCUGGGGCAAAAGGGAUGACUGGCCCAACCCAUUAGCAGUCACUUUUCAUUCCCUUCAAAGUAGAGCAAGAAUGAAAUGUUUCAUCUUUGCUCAUGAAUAACCUGAAAGUGCUGACUCAUCACAGAAAUAUGAAAUGAGCAAAGCAAGCCUGGCUUUGUGCAGCAACGUCCCUCUCUCCCCCACAAACUGCCCUGUGAGUCACUGGUAAGACCCCUCAGUACAGAGCAAUGAGAAUUCCCUGACUGUCUCAAACAAUAUUCUGCAGACUUCACUGCCUCCUGCAUCAGCUGUCUGCCCCUUAUCUUUCUCUUUGAUGGAAAGGGUUUGUCUCCCUUAGACAGCUUUAUCUGAUGUAAUGUGGGGCAUUGUUUUAAGCUGGGCGAGGGAGUUGUCAGAGGGUUUGAGACCAGCCAGAGAGGUCAGACUCUAAGCAAGGGGAGUGAUCCUUUAUGUGGGAUAAAGUCAGCUUAGAGCGGGUGCAUGCAGGUUUACUUUUCCAAGGUGCAUCCUAGACACCACAAUUCACUUAAUAUCUGAAAGUGAUAAAAAUCU